rnacentral:tRNA from 3 species
UGGGGCGUCGCCAAGCGGUAAGGCAACGGUUUUUGGUACCGUCAUGCGGAGGUUCGAAUCCUCCCGCCCCAGCCA